ensembl:misc_RNA Metazoa_SRP Metazoan signal recognition particle RNA
GCCAGAUGCGGUGGUGCAUGCCUAUAGUCCCAGCUAUCCAGGAGGCUGAGGUGGGAGCACUGCUUAGCCCAGGAGUUCUUGGCUGUAAUAUGCAUGCCAGUCAGGUGUCUGCACUAUGUUUGGCAUCAGUAUAGUGACCUCCUGGGAGCGUGGGACCACCAGGUUGCCUAAGGAGGGGUGAAUUAUCCCAGGCUGGAAAUGAAGCAGGUAAAAACUCCUGUGCUAGUUAGCAGUGGGAUUGUGCCUGUGGAUAGUCACUGCACUCCAACCUGGGCAACACAGUGAGACCCCGUCUCUU